CUCGAAUUCUUUCGGAUUAUUCUUCAUCACAGAUACCGUACUGCAAUGAAAGGGCGGGAGAAGUAGCGGAACUUUGUGAUAGAGGGAGGGGAGAGUAAUUAGUUUCGCUCUCGUCCCGGAUAGUCAGUCAGUCAGUUAGUCAGUCAGUAGAACUUGGAACUCGGUUGGGUCAGUGUUCGUGUUAAACUGCCUAAGUGCCCGUGAUCACCGAAUUUUACGCGGGUGAUUAUUCGAGAAUAACGUCAAUUAGCCAGAAUUGAUAUUCACACUGAUAGAUAAACCCCUC